UACAGAGGUCUCAAGCGUUGUUCGGAUUCACUGGGUUUAAAGGGUGCGUAGGAGGGCAGGUAAGUCAGUGGUGAAAUCCCCGAGCUUAACUUGGGAACUGCCGUUGAUACUAUCUGUCUUGAAUAUUGUGGAGGUGAGCGGAAUAUGUCAUGUAGCGGUGAAAUGCUUAGAUAUGACAUAGAACACCAAUUGCGAAGGCAGCUCGCUACACAUAUAUUGACUCUGAGGCACGAAAGCGUGGGGAUCAAACAGG
rnacentral:rRNA from 1 species